rnacentral:lncRNA from 1 species
AAAAAAAACAACCCAAAAUCCAACACCUGUGCAUGAGCAUCAAAAACUUUCGUCCUUGGGGACUGAUUUAAAGAAGCAUUGCACAAACAGAUGAGGGGAGCUGGUCUGAAACUGCAGGUAGUUGUGGCCAUCCUUCCUGGAGAGAUGGCAGCAUAUAUGGCCACAAAAGAAUGUGCGGUAGGAGUCAGGAAGAGAAUGAGCAGAAAUUUCUGGCUGGCUGGGGAAGGUCAGGCUGAGAAGCUGCUCCUGUUUGACACUGCAACAUGCCAGAGUGAUGAAUAUUUAAUCAGGCAAGAGAGAACUGUGUGGGAGGUUGAAGCAGCUGUAGCUCCUGGUUGAUUGUCUGAAGCAUCAUCUUAAGAGUGUCUUGUGUAAAGGAGCUCUUGGGUAUCAGCUGUUAGCAUGGAGCAUGUGGAUGAUUUGUUGAUAUUAUACAAACUGUGGAAUAGCAGCCAUUCCUCUGUAGCACUGUUUUAAGCAUGGUAAUAAAGCUGUUUGAACUCUGAGGAUGUUAUUCUUA